rnacentral:misc_RNA from 1 species
CAGAGUUGCAAAACUCCCUAAACCAUUGUGAACGUUACCUAAACCGUUGCUUCGGCGGCGGCCCGGGUCCUUCCCGGCGCCCCUCGGCCCUCGCGGUGCGCCCGCCGGAGGUAAACCAAACUAUUGCAUUGUAUGGGCCCUCUCUGAGUCUUCUGUACUGAAUAAGUCA